rnacentral:rRNA from 1 species
UACAGAGGUCCCAAGCGUUGUUCGGAUUCAUUGGGCGUAAAGGGUGUGUAGGUGGCGCCGUAAGUCGGGUGUGAAAUUUCGGAGCUUAACUCCGAAACUGCAUUCGAUACUGCGGUGCUUGAGGACUGGAGAGGAGACUGGAAUUCAUGGUGUAGCAGUGAAAUGCGUAGAUAUCGUAAGGAAGACCAGUGGCGAAGGCGGGUCUCUGGACAGUUCCUGACGCUGAGGCACGAAGGCCAGGGGAGCAAACGGG